GCGGUUCCCUCCAAAAGAGUAACGGAGGGGUACUAAGGUACACUUAGCGCGUAAGGAAAUCGCGCAUCAAGCGUAAAGGUAUACAGUGUGCUUAACUGCAAGGGAAACAACCCGAGCAGAUGCGAAAGCAGGUCUUAGUGAUCCUCUGGUGGCUUGUGGAAGCGCCAGAGCUUAACGGAUAAAAGUUACCCCGGGGAUAACAGGCUAGUCUUGCCCUACAGUCCACAAGGACGGCAAGGUUCGGCACCU
rnacentral:rRNA from 1 species